AGGCCAUCGGCCCGUUAGAGGAACCACCGCUCUCCUAGAGCGGGUGCCGCAGGUUCGAAUCCUGCCGGGG
rnacentral:tRNA from 1 species